rnacentral:rRNA from 1 species
GAUGAACGCUAGCUACAGGCUUAACACAUGCAAGUCGAGGGGAAACGACAUCGAAAGCUUGCUUUUGAUGGGCGUCGACCGGCGCACGGGUGAGUAACGCGUAUCCAACCUGCCCAUCACUUGGGGAUAACCUUGCGAAAGUAAGACUAAUACCCAAUAACGUCUCUAGAAGACAUCUGAAAGAGAUUAAAGAUUUAUCGGUGAUGGAUGGGGAUGCGUCUGAUUAGCUUGUUGGCGGGGUAACGGCCCACCAAGGCAACGAUCAGUAGGGGUUCUGAGAGGAAGGUCCCCCACAUUGGAACUGAGACACGGUCCAAACUCCUACGGGAGGCAGCAGUGAGGAAUAUUGGUCAAUGGGCGAGAGCCUGAACCAGCCAAGUAGCGUGCAGGAUGACGGCCCUAUGGGUUGUAAACUGCUUUUAUAAGGGAAUAAAGUGAGUCUCGUGAGACUUUUUGCAUGUACCUUAUGAAUAAGGACCGGCUAAUUCCGUGCCAGCAGCCGCGGUAAUACGGAAGGUCCGGGCGUUAUCCGGAUUUAUUGGGUUUAAAGGGAGCGUAGGCCGGAGAUUAAGCGUGUUGUGAAAUGUAGACGCUCAACGUCUGCACUGCAGCGCGAACUGGUUUCCUUGAGUACGCACAAAGUGGGCGGAAUUCGUGGUGUAGCGGUGAAAUGCUUAGAUAUCACGAAGAACUCCGAUUGCGAAGGCAGCUCACUGGAGCGCAACUGACGCUGAAGCUCGAAAGUGCGGGUAUCGAACAGGAUUAGAUACCCUGGUAGUCCGCACGGUAAACGAUGGAUGCCCGCUGUUGGUCUGAAUAGGUCAGCGGCCAAGCGAAAGCAUUAAGCAUCCCACCUGGGGAGUACGCCGGCAACGGUGCAACUCAAAUGAAUUGACGG